CGCGGUAUUUUGACUGUGCAAAGGUAGCAUAAUCAUUUGUCUUUUAAUUGAAGACUUGUAUGAAUGGCUGAACGAGAAAAUAACUGUCUCUUUAAAAAAUCUUGAACUUUACUUUUAAGUGAAAAGGCUUAAAUAAUUUUAAGGGACGAUAAGACCCUAUAAAUCUUUAUAUUAUUUUUCUUUAACUUUCAAAUUAUAUAUUAAAAGAAAUAAAAGAAAAAAAUAUUGUAUUGGGGAGAUAAAAAUAUAAUUUUUUAACUGUUUUAAAUAUAAAACAAUAAUUUUUGAUUUACUAAAAAUUGAUCCUUUUUAAAGAUUUUAAGAUUAAGUUACUUUAGGGAUAACAGCGUAAUUUUUUUUGAGAGUUCUUAUCGAAAAAAAAGUUUGCGACCUCGAUGUUGAAUUAAAAUAUCCUUAUAAGUGUAGAAGCUAUAAAGGAAAGUCUGUUCGACUUUUAAAAUUUUACAU
rnacentral:rRNA from 1 species